rnacentral:snRNA from 1 species
AUACUGACCUGACAGGGGAGAUACCAUGAUCACGAAGAUGGUUUUCCCAGGGUAUGGCUUGUACUCCAGAUGUGCUGACCCCUGCGAUUUCCCCUAAAAAAAAAAAAAGAAAAAAGAUUUUAACCUAGUAAAACAUAGAAAAUUAAUGUGGUUGUUGUUCUAG